ensembl:lncRNA
GAUAAUGCUACUGCUUCUGCAAAGGCCUCAGAAUCAGUCACACAAUUGUCUGCAACUCCGAACAGCAGCUGCAAGAUCACAACUGUGCACAGUAGUCCCGCCCCAUAGACUGUUGCGGUUACUUAGCCCAAAUCCAUCAACAGAAAAUGUGGAGGGCAUAUGGGAAGAGAGGGAAGAUGAUAUUUGUCUAAGAGCACCAUGGAACAAAACCACUUGAAUUUAAGAAGAAAACAAAAACAUGGAGGGCUUCAGAGAGCUGUGUGUGCUGUGGACCUCCCAGAUGGCUGCCAGCCCCACAGAGAGUGAGGCAGCAGUCCCAACCAGUGGAACACUCUUAAGAGCUGUAAGAAGAAAGUUUUAAGAGGGAAGUUCAUGUUCAAGGUGAGAUGUGUGUCUUCUGAAUCAAGUCAGUGAAUAGUACUUAAUAACUAAGAGCUGCAGAACUAGCCAACGUAACCAAUACCAUAGGAAUAUAAGGAAUAACCUUCUUUAACCCACCCCCAACUUUAUUAACUACAUGCCUAUUAUUGAUAAUAGGACUUUUUUAUAAUUCUAUUUUUAAUAAUAUUCCUUAGAAAUUCACUUGUUAAAAGAAUAAAAAGCAUGCAUUUUUAUCUGCAUUUGAACAUUUUAUAGAAGUUACCUUUUAUAAAAUUUCCCUUUUAUUCCCUUGCAAGUUAAGUCAUUUUUUUUUUUAAUUGCGUUUUAAAAACACUUUAAUUGUCUUCAAAUUAUCUGUAUUGUGAUGCUACAAGGAGAUAGAAGACAUUUAAUGUCUUAUACGGUGUAAAUCAAGUACUUAAAAAACUCACAUAAAAGACAAAACAGUCAAAUAACCGAGCCUUCAUUAUGCGGUACUGUAGUUGCAUAUUCACGUAGCAUAAACAUUUACAGUAACUGGGUUAUUCUCAGAUGAAAAUCAAAUCUAUUUCAAUUCAGACAAUUUCUCUGCAUUAGGAGAACGAAUAAAUUAAAAUUGUGCUUCAGCAAUUUGCUCUUCCCAAGCAGCUAUCCUGCAAGCUCCACAGAGGAUGUCAAAACCUGCUGAUAUCUAGCAGAGUCAACUCCAAGUUUGUGUAUCCUGGUCCACUCUACCUUUCCAUCAGGCAGUACAUGUGGAAAUGGAAAAGUAGCUCUCUAAUUAAUCAAAGUCAGAUCUGCCUGAACGCCUGGAGUUGCUGCUGAUCCUUGUCCCAGCUUCUACCAUGUUCUCUCUCUAUGUUUUUUACCUUGAAAACUUCUGCUCUGAGCUGGGAAUGCCUGAAGGGCUUGCACGGUAAGUCAAUGAGAAAUUAUCUCAGCAGGAAGAAGUUGCUUUUCAGCUUAAAUGAUUUAAGGCAGCAAUUUUUCACACUCUCAAACUCUGACAAACGCACAGAUUGCCUCUCAUGUUUGACUUCAAAAUAUUCAAAGAAAAGCUAUUUUUAUUAAAAACACUCUAGAGAAAAUUGUAUGUCACUUGUUCUCUGAUAUAACUUCAUUUCUCCUGACAGUGACAAUUUUCACCUCAGUACAAUUUCUUUAUUUUUUCCAAAGCUAAUUCUGCUUAAUAUUAGUAUUUAUACAAACUCAUAUCAACUUGUCUCUGUGAAAUGUUCAAGGGUGUCAGGUAAAUGUUGCUCACUGUCAGUCAUCUUCUUUGGUGCUCAAAAUGAUCAAUAGAUUAAAAACUGUAGCUACUUACUCGCGAUAUUAUUGUUUUAUUUGUAAGGAAGAACUUAACAAAUGUUAGAUUGUUUCACUUGACAAAAGUGUGUCUGCAGACUAUGAGGACUUGAAAACUUGAAGGCGAAGUCUGCUGUGGAAGAUUUUUGAAAGUUUAUAGGGAAAAGUCCAUUAGUCCCCUAUCUUUAAGUAAAACAGGUAAAACAGUGGAUGUUUUGUCUUACACUGCUUACUUGUUAAGAAGAUUACUCGAGAUGUCAUAUUGCACUGAAACACCACAUUUGCUUUAUUAUGAAUGCUGCAGUGCAGAAACGUCACAUUAUAAUCACUUCGAACAAGAAAUAUAUUCUGCAUAUUUUCAUACGUGUUUAUAAUUCCACUAAACCUCAGCAGAAUCAAACCCAGUAGGGACGCAAAUGACAGAAGGUUUAACGUUCCAAAGACUCCUGAAAUCCAGGAACACUGAUAUAUGGCAGAACUGUUAAUAUGUAUAAGGUUAUUCGUGGCCUGCGACCUCCAAGCGUAUCUUCUGGCCUUAUCACUUUUCCAGGAGAAAAAGUAACCACUGACAUGUGCAUCUCCACAAAUAAUUCUAAGGGAAUUUGCGCAGUGAAAUUUCAUAAAAUGUCGUACUUGAGAAAGAAAUGAUUUAUGGAUGCAAUAUGCCCGUUUGUAACAUUUGUGUACUGACCAGGCAGGGUAAGCUUUGCUUUCCCAUGCUCACAACGCUAUUACAAAUGCAUCUCAUAGGCUCGGACAGAAACUCAGCUUCUAAACUAAACUGCAUCUAUUUUAAUUUCAUUGAUGUGUAUGUCAUAGCAAUUAAGGGAGGAUUUACAUUGCAGCUUUCUAUUGUACACACAGCUAGGUCAAACAUAGUACAUCAAACAUGGAAGUACAUUUCAUAAAUUCCAGUGUUACAACAAUACCAUACAUAGCCAUUGCGCAGCCUGGAAGGCAGCACGGGUGUAGCAGCACGGGUUUGGAUCCUGUGAGCUCUGUCAGUGCUGCUCCUGCAGCGACAGCAGCCGAGGUCAGCAUCUCGGCUGUUUAGCUCAUAUGAUUUUAAACUUGAAAAAGUUGACAUGACAAACAUGACAAAUCUCUGCAGCAAUUUAAAAUAAAGCGUAUGUGCAGGUCAAACCAUCCCCAGAUUAAUUAAAGUUGAGCUGUUGCUAUGAGAAAUGUCUUAUUUUGGAAAGUUAGGUAAACAAAAUUUACAUAUUAACUACCACCAGUUUUAUAGCUAGAAUAUACUAUAUUAGGGCAUAAAUAAGAUCUGGAGACCAAAUGGAAGUGAGCAAGAGCCCCAUUUUGAGAACACAGCAUUUAAUAUCCAUCAAUGCUCAAUUCUUUCCUAUUUCUCUGAAAAAAUUUUGAGUGUAUUUGUACAACUCUCAAGUAAAAGCUACAAACAACGAGAGGAGGAAAUGAUAUGUUUCUGGAAUGACCAUUUAAACUAGAUUUUCACUUUGAUGACAGCGAGCUAAUAAGCAAUCAUGGAACAUGCUUUCUUAUAAAUACUAAAAACUUUAUUUCCUUUUCCCUUGAAAAAGUGCUAAGAAGUAAUAUUAAGCACUCAUUUAAAAAACACAUACCAACAAAAUCGUUAAAUGAAAGAAAUGCCUUGCAAUAGACAUUAAGCUUUAAUGAUCAGAGAGAAAAACAAACAUUUUUUAUUAUUUUAUUCAUUAGAGAAUUAUUUCAUCUUACACAGAAUUGUAACUGUUGUCAAUUAGACUGCCUGUAUUAAAAGACACCCUUGUCUGAAUUACAUAAUUCACCAUUUCCUUAUUAAUGAAAAGUUUAGAUGACUGCAUGCACAGUGCAGAAGUUCAAGCCUUGCAUCUACUAUUCCUUUAUACAUACCGUGUGCAUUUUAUUACGUUAGCCAAGAAUACAGUAUCGUAUAUUUAUUUGAAUAAUGCGUAGCAAUUCUCUUUUGCUUCAGACGGAGUACUGCAAGCAAUUACAUCUACUUCAUUUCAUAGAAACUCACCCCCUCUGUCUCUUCCUGUCCCUCAUUAUGCUUUUAAACGUUGCAUUGUCUUAUGUGACCUCUUAAAAUCAUGCAGACUUACAAAGCUCUCCAUUUACAAAUGGAAGCUGAAGUAGAAAACUUUUGACUUCUUACAUCUUUGAUAUUUAAAUUGCAUUUUCAUGUGUAUAGAAACAGUUCAAUAACACCAUUUUAAGUAAUCCUUUAGUUCAACCUUUGUCUUUCUAGUCUAAACAUUUUUGUAUUUCUCCGAAGUUUAUCUGGACUUUUUCAAUAUGAUGUAUGUCAAGGAAUCAGCCUAAGUGAUAAAAGCAGGAAGGGAAAGUCUGCAUCAGUGAGUAUUUAUAUUGGCAAGAGCUGACGAUUUUAUAAAAGAAAAACAAACACAGAGGCUGUUCGUUUCUGAAAUGAAAUCAGCUUCACUUCAUUUCUCUCAGGAAAACAUCACCGCUUGAAAUGAUAUAAAUCAGUAUUGAUAUCACUAAGCUUCAAACUAGAAGAGACAAAUGCACUCCGCACUACAGUAAUUCAGUGGCUCUGAGUCAAGUUUACUGUUGUCUCAUUUCUACUAAUCAUCGUAAAAAUUCCCUGUGAAAUAAUUAUCCCUAAAACAAUCAAGACAGUAUAUCUCUAUAAAGGAGAGGAUCGAUUUAACAACAAACUCUAGAUUUAUCUGUAUUGAUUAGAGGGCAUUCCAUGUAAUUUUAGUGAAUUAUGUUUGGCUUUCAUUUCCCAGUAGAAAUUUUUCUUGUGAUGAUCAAAAGGUAAAUUAUAAACUACCACGUAGUCUUUUGUGUGCUACCGACAUAAUAUCUAACUGUUACUUUUCAAAGAAACAUUGAUGUAAGAACGGACAAAAUAUUGGAUUUUUUUACACAUGAUAUCUUACUAUAAAAAAUCAUAUGACUGAGUUUAUAGCACUUACCUAAGAGCCUGAUGUCAUCUUCUCAAUUCAUUAAUGCAGAAAUCAGGACUGCACUAAAGAGUCUGUGCUAAAGGAACAAAUCCAAGAUCAUCUUAUGAGAAUAGAAUUAGAAAGAUUAAGAAAGUAAUAUGAUUUUUCUUCUUAAAUAGGAGUAAUUUCAAAGGAGCUGUUAACACUUUCAUGUCUGAAACUUUCUUACUAGCAAGAGGGAGAACUGAAGGAAUGAGAUUCAAAGACAAUUCAGUGCAGCUGUAAGUCUGACAACACUGCUGAUACAGUUUAAUUGAGGACUAAUUGGAACUAAGAGGGCUAGUUAUUUUGUCAACUGCACGUAUAUUAGUUCCAGUCAUUUUUAAUCCGAUGUAACGGUGAUAAAGAGUCUAACUUACUUUGUUUAGUUAAUAACAUUAGGCCAGAAAGAAUCACCUAGUCAUUUCAUGUUACUCGAUACACUGCUAAUAUAAACAAUGUCUAAUUACACUGACGACAUACUUCCAUGAAAUGACCAAUUAGAACAUUUACUCAUUCUAAAUGUAUGCUAUUAGAUACAUUUCCACAGGCUUUCUGGUAUUAAUAAAUUAGACAUCAGCUAGUAGGAAGUGUAAGAACAGAAUAUGCGGGAGAAAAAGUUCUUUUUAAAUAGGACAAAGAAUAUUUCAGUAUGCAGAUACAGUAUACUAGGGGCUGUUACCUCCCAUAAAGGUUCUCCCCCAACACCUUGCCCCCACCAAAUUUUACAAAUGAAAAGAAACUUAUUCUCUGGGAGCAUGAAAUUUUGCAAAUUUGUAUACUCUUCUUGCUGAAUCAAGAAGCUCAUACCACGUCUUCAAGAUGCAGGAUAAAGGAGGCAUGUGUUAGCAUUUUAAUAUUUAGACCCACAAACCUACAGCGAUUUGCGUUCAAUUUCAAAACUGAUUUAUUGGCUGUGAUGUGCAGUCAGUAUGAAUAAUACAGAAGUGUCUCUUAUUUAUUUUAUUUAUUUUACUUUACUUAUGUGUCAAUAGCUUCCACCAGAAAAUAUCAGUCCAGCAUGUAACAACAUCUUACAGAGUGACACAAUCUGAUAACAAAAUCAAAACAGAAAAAUAUAAUGAGAACAAUCUCAUCCUCAUCUGAAGAAAAAAUGCUGAUUGUUCAAAACUGCUAUUUUAAUGAUUGAAUGGCUAUCCCUUAUGUAAUCAUGCUGAAAAUUUUGCCGGUUAGUUAAAGUAAAUAACAGCGCACCAGUAUGUGCAUUACCAAAUCAAACUAGCAUAAAGUAUUAGAAAUACUGGAAAAAAUGAGACAGCUAUUUGUGCAACUUAGAUAAAAGAAAGGCAUUUAGAAUAAAUGCAUGAAGUACAUCAAAACAAAAAAAAAAAAAAAAAGAAGAAGAAACUGAAAAAUGAUCUGAAAUCAUUGAUAUUAAUAGUUACUGCACAGAUGCCUAAAAUACUUGACUGCUACACAUGUCGACAUGAGGUAAGAUCUCCAUCCUUCUCCCGCUUAAAUGAGUACAAAUGUUGGCACUUAAUUGAGUGGGUUAUGGUCAGGUGUUUUUCCUACCCCUGCUAGCUGAUGUCCUAAACAUUACCAUUCUACUUAAAUGAAAGCUUUUCUUGGAAUAAAAGGCCACAUGAUGACAUACAGAUCUGACCACUAGGAAUUCCUUGAGAGAAAUAAAAUGUAACUUAAAAGCUACAGCAUGUGAAUAAUUACCAUUUGCUAAAAGUAAGAUUAACAAAUGUUCUUUUAAGUCAAUUGGUAUAUUCUAAAUGUGCCCUACGUUGUCUUAUCCAGGAUAUUUAAAAAUAAACUAUAUGAUAAACUUUGUCUUACUGUGUUUAGGUUAAUAAAAGAGAGUAAUUAAAAGACUCUUACAUUUUCUUCUAAGAGCUAGAAAUUAUUAAACUGUACAGAAAAGAAUCCAGGCUUUUAUUUAAAAAAUCAAUUUUUGAGCUGAAUUGCAAUAAAUCAAUAACAAUGCUAUUGUUCAAUAGGUAAUAAUUGUCUUCAUAUAAACUGAAAAUAUUGUUUGGGAUGAUUAAUAUACAAUGCUGCAUUAUGCAUUUGGGAGUGUCGAUGCAUAAUUUUUAGUUCUAAUGUUAUUAUGUAAUUGAGAGAACAUGUUCAUUUGCCCUAAUAACUACUAAGAUGCACUUAAUAAAAUGAAAUGUAAUAAUACUUGUAAUUUAAUCUAUUCAUUGAAGUAAUUUUAAAAGUCUACCAUUCUCUUUAAUGUGGAUAACAUUCAUAAUUUAUAAAGUGUUGUGAUGCAGAAUUGACAAUGCCAUUGUUUUUUACACUUUGAGAUGAUUCUGCAGCCUUCAUUAUCUGCAUACCAACCUCAGGAUUAUCAAGGGCAAACAAAAGAUAAUUAACACCAGAAACAGGCAAAUGCAGGAGCUACUGAGUGAGGUUUCUCGUUUAAUGCAGAACCUUUGAAAACUGGGAAAUUGAAUAAAUACUUAAAACCUUUUUUUUUUUUUUCUUUUUCCACACUGCAGAAAAUGAUUUCAGUAUGUUUUCUCCUCUCCAUUACAAAUGCCAGAUUUUUUUUGCUAUAAAACUAUGUUGACACGUUCAGUAAAUUAUCAUGUUAAGUAUUAUUUCAAAGUACCAACUGUUAAUCCUCUGCAGCGUAUUUUUCUGUGGAAAAGCAGGCAGGGUACUAUGGUAUAGAUAUUCAGAAUCUAUAGUUUCACUUACCCACAACGUGCAUGCCAAUAAGUCACCAUCUAUCCAUGGCUGAUUGGACAGUGCUCUAAGAUAGGGGCAAAAACAUCUCUUGCACUGAUGUGUUUAAUGAUCAAGGUGCAUUUUUAUGUGCUAAAACCUUAUAGGAAAUGAAAUGUGUGGCCAUCUAUGGCACUUUUAUACUCAGAGCAGAGUAGUAAAGGCUUACUAAAUGCUGAUAUAGGUCCAGGACAAUGUAUUUCAGUGGGAAUUCUAGAAACUUACUUUAUGUUGUUGUUCAAGGAAUCUUGACAAUGAUCCUGCACUGCAUUCUAUAAGGUUUGCUAUAUAACUCAUCAUUUCAGAAAUUAAUCAGUGGAGAUUCUCAACAAGGAGAAUCUUUUGAAUACAAGGCAAAGCAUUGUAUCAUUAGACUCUUAUCUGUGAAUGAACAUCCUUCUACAAAUGGUCCAGGCAAAGUCAUUUUACAAAUGGAAAAAUAGGGCAGUGACAUUCAGAGAUUCACACAAUUUGCAGAUGUUGAUGACAGUCUGACUCCCCGCCCCUUACUUACAUAAGAAAUUCUUAUUACAAGGGAAUGUGAUUAUUAGCCUAUGAGCCAUCCAUGAAAGAUUCAGCCAUUUGUGUUUAAAUGGCAUGAUAUAUUACCAUAUAUUACCACUUUUUACACUUUCUAACUGAAAAUACCUGAUAAGUAACUGAUCCUUAAAUUAUAUGCAAACAGAGGAGCUUGCUUUCAGUCCACUGCAGCAGGCUGACAGCGCUGCGUGGGGAUGGGUGUAACAUAUUAAGAUUCCAGCUGCAUGACAACUCAGUAAGACUUGUUCUCUUCCAAGAUAUGGUGCCAGCAAUACCUAUGGCAGGGCCUAUCUUUUAGGGUCAGCCCUCAUUUCUGCUGCCCUAAUGGAGAAGAACCGUUCUCCCCUGCUCCCAAUGCACAGUGAAAGGCGUGAGGAGGUGAAUGUGAGAGCUUUGCUGUGCCCCUGAGAUGACACCAGCAGUGUGGACAGGCCAAGGCCCAGUGCUCUCUUCAUGUACUUUGUUCAGUUCUUAAGACAGUCAAGGUAUUAAAGUGCCUAAAAUCACACAGGCAGCUAUGAUGACUCUCAGGCAUUAAGCUAUCAUUCUUUGCAUCUUUACUACUGGACACCAUCUGCAUAAUUCCGAAGCACAAGGCUCCAGACUCUUCCCACACUCUGUUCGGAUGCUUGUGAAUUUGGAACAACUUAAGAAUCAGGAUGUUAAAACUCCUUAGUGUUAGAGGUGCCUCUAUUUUUUUUAUUAUUAUUAUUAAAAUUCAUAUUUUUAGGAGAUUGGCUUCUGUUCUACAAAUAUUUAUAUGAAAGCUUAACCUAAGGUCUGUAAAAAGAAGUGUACCAUGAUUGGACAAGAUAGCAUUUUCCAUUGAUGCCACAAAGAUUAUUAGCUCCUUUGUGUCAUUUCACUUAUUCAAAGCACAACCUCACUUCACUGAACUGUUCUUCUGUUUAGCUCUCCUUCCCCUGCAGGAAAACAAGGCAUACUAUCUACUAUCUUGAAAUACUUUUAAUAAUGAAACUUUUUCAUUUACACAUGGGAAAACACAGAGUUGCAGCCUUACCAUCAGGCAUACACUGUGCCCAACAAUGUCAGUGAACAGCUGAAGCUUCCCAAACAACCACUACCUCCCAUCCAUCCACACCCACCAACUGAAACAGAAGACACAACCCCUGUGUAGACAGUUCACAAACUGAGUAGACAGUGUAGAGAUUCUCCAUUACAGAGACACUUUGCUUUCAUACCUUAUCCUUUUAACUGCUAAUAAUGGGCAACAAUAGCAACAAGAAUACAACUAAUUUCCUAACCUUUGCAUGUAUUAUGAAACUCUUUUUCAAAAGUUGUCCCUAGAGCUACCUUGCACAAUUUUGUGAACAACUUUUCAGCAUCUGUGGUGUUCAUGGUUUUAUUCUAAAAGCUUAUCGUGGACUGGGAUUUUCAGAGAUUUGUAGUAAAUAAGGAGGAAUACUGCGGUUAGCAGUCACAGAGAGCUAAAAUAGCGCACGCUCUUAUUUAUGUAUUUUUAAUACUUUUCACUGUGUUUAAUAUUCUAUCAUUGCUAUACAGUCAUGUUUUCUAUAUAUUUAUUUUACCAGAAAAUAUGUUUUGGAAAAUGUAUGUGAUUCUUUCUGGAAUGUCACAACAGUUAAAAGAUGCGGCAAUUCAAUCUGUAUGAACAAUUCCC